ensembl:lncRNA
UGAAAAGCCAAAAAAAAACCCACAAAGACAGAGAAACAUCUUGCAUCCUUUCCUUCCUCUGCAUCUCCCCCCCUCCUCAAUCCUGUCAAGUUUUAUUAUUCUCAGAAGACAACCAGCAUAUAUACAACUGAAUCAUACUACAGCAAGGAGUUAUGCUCAUGUUACUCUGGGAUGUAAACUGAAGCAAGCAGAGCUCAGAAUGUCACGGGAUUGAGCAGAGGUUCAUGACCAUUGAAUUCCAUUGGACCUGAGAACUGUAGGAAAGAAUUUCCAAAUAGAAAAGGGAAGCAGAGCUACAUGUCCCAGGGGACUUCACGUUCAGAGAGGAAUAUACGUCACGGGAGGAAGUCACUGGAUCUGGCUCUCUGGCUCCCUUUUGCUCACUGCCUGGCAGUGUGUCGGUGUGCUUCCCAGUCCUGCGCCUUCAGUUCAGAGAACCUGUGCUGAUGAAUUCUAUUGGGUAGAAUAAAGAAAAGGAAAAGGGAAUUAAAUGGAGAGAGACAACCUGGCCUGGUGAAUAAAGCAGCAGACUUGAGGGGAUCUGGAGACCUAGAUACUAUUCCCAGCUCUUCCCUGCAGUGUGAACUUAGCAAUGAAUAUUCCCUGAUGAACUUCUGGAGAUGUACAGGACUUGAACUUCAGACUGCUGCAUAGAUAGAAAGUCAUACGAUCCUGAAAUACUAUCGUAAGGGUUUAUCUUUGAUUCAGUUGCUUCUGUUGCCUCUCUUUCUCUGUAUAUCUGGUCUUAAACUAAAAGUUAGGACUACCCUGUAAUUCAAGCAUAGAUCUGUGUUUAUUCUGAAUUCAGAAGUCUAUCACUGUUGACAUUCUUUUUUCAUCUCUUCAAAUGAAGCACUUUUAUCUAUAUUUUGAAACUCUGAUGGAAUAAAUCCCAAUUUAUCUCAAACUCUGAAAACAGACAAAUGUAUUUACCAUUAACUCUGAUCAGACUAGGCAUACACAGAGCCUAUGUACAUGUAUCAAGUCUAGGCUGCAGAUGGGUGACAGCAAGUGUGGGGAAACAAAAAGUCUAGAUACAUAUGUAUCAGUGAUAAGGCUUUGGAUAGAGAUCACCUGAUGGAUUCAGGUACUUGGUACCUUUUUCAAUAGUAGGAGCUUUGCUUCGGUUAAUCAUCAAGCAGUGAUUCCAUUAGUAGCUGGGCUGUCCUUGAUGUAAUUGCUGAAUGUCCAUGGGGGGUUGAUCAUGACCAUAUACUAACAAACCAUGAGCUUCUCGCUCACUCUCAUGAUGUGGAGGACAUCACCACUUGCCACAGUCAAUAUAAUGUUCUAAAAGUCUCUAAGCAAGAGUUAUCUUGGAAGGCAGUCUCUAUUAGCUUUUACUGCUAAGCAUGAUAUUGUAUGACAUAGAAUAUCCCUUUGGUCAGUUUGAUUGCCUGUUCCAUCUGCAUCCUUUCCUAGUUCCUUGCCCACCCCUAACCUAUUCACUGUGGGCAGCAGGACAGAGUGAGAAACAGAAUAGAACUUGGCACUGCAAGUGCUGUUUAUCAAAACCUAUAAGAUCAGAGUGUUGUCAACAGUAUUUCAGUUACAAAUCCAAAAUGCAGCACUAUAUAGACGGCUGUUAAGAAAGUUAUUUCUAAACUAGCCAGAUCCAGAGCAAUGUCUUACCUUAAAUUUCAGUUUGAUAUAUCAUCCAUCAUCUAUUCUCAGUUUGAUCCUUCAAACAUCUUGCGUUGAAGUAAAGUACAAUCUUGUGAUCACCUCACAUUGACUGCUUAAUUAUUUGAGAUACCAUUAACAUGACUGUAAUUGAGGAAAAUGUAUAGAACUGUAAUUUGCAGCCUUGGAUGUGAUCUGAGAAUAAACCUGGAUAAAUUAUGCAAAAAUCUGCCCAUUCACCAGCAGCUUUAGGAGUCUAAAAUCAGACUGGAGAGGGACUUUAGCAAUAUUUAUACUUGAAAAUUGAGGUAAGACUUUCAAAUUAGUGUCAAAAUUAGAGAAAAAAAAAACAACCAAGGAUAUAAAAAAUACAGAUGUGCAAAAAGUUAUUUCAUUCCCAGUGAAGUGUCUUGUCAGCUUCAUUUAAAAUUGUUUCUUUCCAUCCUUUGACAUAUUUAUUUCUCUUUGUAUUUUAUUUUUUAUAAUUUGGUUGUUUUAAAUUGUUUUUUUGCCCUCAAAAGCAGCUGGAAUCUCAAAAUGAAAUUAAAACCAUCUAGGUGCCAAUAAACAUAUUCAAUAGAUAUAAGACUAAAUUAAACUAAUUGACAUUUUAUUAAUAUUCUGCUGUUUGUUCCCGCAGAGUUAAAACUGUUCUAGAGAUCCUAUUAUAUGAAGAUAUACUUUGGACCAUCUGGUAGCCAAACAUUUCUGAUUAUAAAUAAGUCAUUUUUGUUAAUUAUUUAUUUGGGAGUUUUUGUUUAUUAUACAAAAAUCUGAAAAAGAAGAAGAAAUAGGAAAAUGUGCUGGGUUUUGUACUGCAUCAUUUAAAAACAAAAUAUUUUUUAUAGACAACUCCGGUUGAAACAGGAGAAAGCCGUGAAUAUUUAUUUGGCUUAGUAAUUUCUUAACUGAUUCUUGUUUGUAACAAAUUUGUCUUCACUUUUUGCGAACAUUUAUGCACAUAGCAAAGCAACCACUCAAAAUGAGUAGAUGGUUAGCUCUAAUUUUAAAUUUAAAAAGGAAGGGAAUGAUCUGUUCAUCACAGAGAGGAAAGAAGAGGAUACAAUUUAAAUUAUGUCCACUGAGACCCCAUUUAUAGAAAGAAAAAAAAAAAAGGAAAAAGAAAACUGAGUUAAUGACUGUGAGGUUCUGGGACCAUUAGUGAAGGAAAGCUGUAGGCUCUUCAGUACUGGAGGUCUUCAAGAAAUUAUUAACAUCUAUCAGGAAUGUUAUGGGUAGAAUUGAUCUUUCUUUGAGGAACUGCAUUUGAGUCCUUGAGGAUGGACUACUUGGUUUCUCAACGUAUCUUGUAGCUCUGUUUUCUGAAUUAGAGAUUAUGAUCCGUACAUUAUUGAUAACUGCUAUAAUUUUUAAGUUUAGCCUUCAAGCAAAAUCUUUAAUACUGUGAGACAUAAAAAGUCAUGAGAUUGUGAUUGGUUUCAAAAGAAAUUACAAGAAACUAUCAAAUUAAUAAAGGUUUGUUAAAAACCUUGACACUUAUUCACCUUGUCUGAUAUUUGCAUUAAUUUCAAAAAUAUCCAUGGUAAAGGAAUAGAAUAGACUACAAUAUCCAGCAACCCUUAAUAAAUCGAAGGAAUAUUUAUUUUUGGUGUUUGAAGCAAUGAGGAUACCAGUUUCUAUGCACUUUAUGCAACCUAGUUCAUCCAUGAUCAUCCAGGUGUGGAUGCUGCUGAUUCCAAAAACAAAGAAAAACAUGUGGAAAUGCUCACUGUUUUGCAUGCAUUCCAGAAGUCUUUCAAACAAUC